AUGUGUUCAUGCAGGAUCCCAUCGCACAGUGGAAAAACCCACAGCGAUGACCCCCUUUGUAUUCAGAGUGCAUAGGGAUACUAACAACUGCAGUCUAUUUAGACAUGAAAGAGAGAUGAGCAGUGAAGAAAACAUGGGCAGCUUCUCAGCGUGUGGCUUUGUACUGGUGCUGUGGUUGUCCUCACUAACCAGACACUGAAUCACUGCUAAAGGCAAUGCGAAGGUUCAUCAAGGAGGGUUAAUGACAGUGCGGUUUAUGAGACAAGUGUGCGCGUUUUGACCUUCAGCCAGCUGGUCCGUCUGCAAGAUGCAGCGUGUAUGUGUCUCUCUGAGGAUAUAUAUAGCACUCAAAGUUUCUCUUUCACCGUGUUAACAAAAUGAUGAAAAGUAGCGCAAGGGAAGGGCAAACGGAGUGAGUCACUCAUUCAUGAGUCAGUGCAGCGCUACUAAGAACACUUCCCUCCUGCAUAUUAGCCGAGUGCAGGUGGGGACUGUGACCUGGGAGAGAGGAGCCCUCAGAGGAGAGCGUGAUGGUUGAUCCUGGCUGACAGCGACAGUCCAGGGAGGGAAGCCUGCUAAUCCUGUUUGAUUUAUGAUCUGAGCCAGAAAACGAGACGGAGCCACAGAGUGAACGGUCCGGGCUGUUAGCCGAAGCCUCGGGGUGAUCUCAUCGAGCUCAGAUGGUCAGUUCUGGUCCUGGUGAUCAACUCUACGUUGGAUGCAGCAUACACCUGAAAAAGGAGGAGACACACCUCUUGUGUUCUGUUUGCUCUGGCUUCACUUCCUCAUUGUUUGGGACCAAUGAACUGAAAAUCGAAUUUUCAGUUUCCUACCUGGUGCGUAGAAAAGUAUUAAAGUAGUAACUGUUCUCUCUGCCAUGCACCAGGAAGAGAAUGAGCAUUAAGCAUUGUUAUUGCAACAUUUAAGGAAAUAUUUCACAUUUUCUAUCUUGUAUGAACUGUGCAUGAACAACUAUGAUCCUUCUGUUUUACUGAAUUUUUAUUAAACUUCAAUAAAAUAAAUCCAAACA